UCAGCGGCCUUGCUGGAGGCUCAAAAAUUCACUUCACCAUUCCAGGGAGUUUUGUGCUUGCAGGCGAGUUAUUUCUAGUUAGGUUGAUAUAUUUGGAUGUAUUGUCGAGUGAUCUACCACUUGCACAUAUGUGUUAAUUCUGGAAGAAUGCGCUUCUUUUUUCUCAAUAGUUCUUCUUGCUGCUAUGUUCAUGGAUGAAUUCUUACUCAUUUCCUUGUCACACAUUGUGUAAUACUAUAGGAAUAUGCCUCACACGUUUCCAUCCGUCCUAAUAUUCCUAUUUAUUGUAUAUAUAAUCCUUAAUUUGAUCUUUCCUUACAAAGUCUGAAACCGACCUUGCUUCAGCCAAAGUGUGUCUGUUUGUUUGAUUGCAUACUCAUCGUAGUUGUAAUUCAAUCCGUUGCAAUGAACAUCCACGCGAGGCUGCAGGAUGGUUGUGAUUUGCAAAGACAAUGUUUCUCUUAAUUAACUAAUCGCAGACUCAUUUUAAUUGUUGAUCCGCCUGUUAAGUUUAGCGUGGAGUUUUGGUUUGACCUUUUCAUUGCGGUGCUUGCAGAAUGGUGUAGCCGCAGAACUGCACAAUUAACCAGUGACGACGAGCAAAAUUGCAGAUCUUUUCGUCGUGCCUACACGUUGUGGAGCCACCGACCUGCCUGAGCCGCCCCCGAUCAUGCCAUAUCCGCGAGAGAAAUCUAUGGUACUGCUUUCUUAAGUUGUAAGCUUUUGUGUUCCCAUAGAAUUUAAGAUGGUGAAGUUACUGGAUGUAGGAACUAUGGUUUACUAUGACGGUAAGACGUUUUGUUGUUUCUUGAUUUGUUUCAGUAAGAACUUCAGUGCUCGAGUCAGAAACUUGUACUAUUUCACCUUGCUCCAAUUGCUCAGUCAGAACUCAUGGUUCUCCAUUGGCUAAUUUCUCAGAUUAGGAGUUGAGAUAAACAUCAAUAUGCUAAAGAUUACAGAGAAGUUUCCCAGUCUAGAAAAGAAAAUAUGAUGCCAAGAUGAUCUAUGCAGCUGCGAUGCUGAAAAGUUUGUAUUGCAACAUAAAUGGAUUGUGCAUGGCUCAGAUGUUGAUUGCAAGGCUGAGAAUGGGCUACUAUUAGAUAAUUAGAGUUGUCAUUUUCAGGACAAUGUUUCAAUAGUUGAUUGUAAGGUCAAGAAUUUGGCUAGUACUAGAUAAAAACAUUAUAGCAAUUGCUGGUUGAGAAUUUGGCUACUACUAUAGAUAGUUUCACAUCUUGCAAUCUUUCAAUCAUAUUCUUUGUAAUGCAACAUAGUUGAUUUAAUA